rnacentral:rRNA from 1 species
UACGUAGGGUGCGAGCGUUGUCCGGAAUUAUUGGGCGUAAAGGGCUCGUAGGCGGUUUGUCGCGUCGGGGAGUGAAAUCCACUGGCUUAACUGGUGGCUUGCUUUUCGAUACGGGCAGACUGGAGGUAUGCAGGGGGAGAACGGAAUUCCUGGUGUAGCGGUGAAAAUGCGCAGAUAUCAGGAGGAACACCGGUGGCGAAGGCGGUUCUCUGGGGCAUGUCCUGACGUGAGGAGCGAAAAGUGUGGGGGGAGCGAAACAGG